GAUGAACGCUGGCGGCGUGCCUAAUACAUGCAAGUCGAGCGAACGGACGAGAAGCUUGCUUCUCUGAUGUUAGCGGCGGACGGGUGAGUAACACGGGGAUAACCUACCUAUAAGACUGGGAUAACUUCGGGAAACCGUAGCUAAUACCGGAUAAUAUUUUGAACCUCAUUGUUCAAAAGUGAAAGCCGGUCUUUCUGUCACUUAUAGAUGACUCCGCGCUUGAUUAGCUAGUUGUUAAGGUAACGGCUUACCAAGGCAACGAUGCAUCGCCGACCUGAGAGGGUGAUCGGACACACUGGAACUGAGACACGGUCCAGACUCCUACGGGAGGCAGCAGUAGGGAAUCUUCCGCAAUGGGCGAAAGCCUGACGGAGCAACGCCGCGUGAGUGAUGAAGGUCUUCGGAUCGUAAAACUCUGUUAUUCGGGAAGAACAUAUGUGUAAGUACCUGUGAACAUCUUGACGGUACCUAAUCAGAAAGCCACGGCUAACUACGUG
rnacentral:rRNA from 1 species